rnacentral:rRNA from 1 species
AACGAACGCUGGCGGCAGGCCUAACACAUGCAAGUCGAACGAGAAGCCAUCUUCGGGUGGUGGACAGUGGCAGACGGGUGAGUAACGCGUGGGAACGUGCCUUUCGGUUCGGAAUAACCCAGGGAAACUUGGGCUAAUACCGGAUAAGCCCUUCGGGGGACAGAUGCAUUGCCGAAAGAUCGGCCCGCGUCGGAUUAGCUAGUUGGUGGGGUAAUGGCUCACCAAGGCGACGAUCCGUAGCUGGUCUGAGAGGAUGACCAGCCACACUGGGACUGAGACACGGCCCAGACUCCUACGGGAGGCAGCAGUGGGGAAUAUUGGACAAUGGGCGAAAGCCUGAUCCAGCCAUGCCGCGUGGGUGAAGAAGGCCUUAGGGUUGUAAACCCCUUUCAGCGGGGAAGAUAAUGACGGUACCCGCAGAAGAAGUCCCGGCUAACUCCGUGCCAGCCGCCGCAGUAAAAC